AGAGAGAGACAUGCGCGCAUAUCAAUAAGCGGAGGAAAAGAAACUAACUAGGAUUCCCUCAGUAACGGCGAGUGAAGCGGGAAGAGCUCAAAUUUGAAAUCUUCAAGGUUCUACCUUGACGAAUUGUAGUUUAAAGAAGUGUUUUCUGUUGGAGUUUUGGUAAAAGUCCUUUGGAAUAGGACAGUCAUAGAGGGUGAGAAUCCCGUAUUUGACCAUUAUUUCCAGCUUUGUGAUACACUUUCAAAGAGUCGGAUUGUUUGGGAAUGCAGUCCAAAAUGGGUGGUAAAUUUCAUCUAAAGCUAAAUACUGGCGAGAGACCGAUAGCGAACAAGUACCGUGAGGGGAAAGAUGAAAAGAACUUUGAAAAGAGAGUUAAACAGUACGUGAAAUUGUCAAAAGGGAAGCGUUUGACACCAGUGUUGUUUUUCUGAAAAUCAAUUAAAGAACUGUUUAUGCUAAGCUGUUUAGACUUUAUCAGCUAUCUGUUUAGUUUUGAGCUUUUCUUUAAUGCACUUUUCAGUUAACAAGUCAACAUCAAUUUCUUUUGCUGUAAAAAAGCUUGAGGAAGGUGGCUUGAGAUUCGUCUUAAGUGUUUAUAGCCUCUUGCCUAUGCAGUCGGAGAGAUUGAGGUCUGCAGCGUAGAUCCUUCGGGGCUAAAUGCAUUUGUGCUAAGUUAUAGCAUUUUAUAGACAACUUGUUGACUAUGAUUUGUCUUGUAGCUUACUCGCUUAUGUUAUUUUACCUACGCUUAGGAUGUUGAUGUGAUACUGCGAGCA
rnacentral:rRNA from 1 species